GAGUUUGAUCUUGGCUCAGAUUGAACGCUGGCGGCAUGCCUUACACAUGCAAGUCGAACGGCAGCACGGGAGCUUGCUCCUGGUGGCGAGUGGCGAACGGGUGAGUAAUGCAUCGGAACGUAUCCUGGAGUGGGGGAUAACGUAGCGAAAGUUACGCUAAUACCGCAUAUUCUGUGAACAGGAAAGCGGGGGACCUUCGGGCCUCGCGCUCUUGGAGCGGCCGAUGUCGGAUUAGCUAGUUGGUGAGGUAAAGGCUCACCAAGGCGACGAUCCGUAGCAGGUCUGAGAGGAUGAUCUGCCACACUGGAACUGAGACACGGUCCAGACUCCUACGGGAGGCAGCAGUGGGGAAUUUUGGACAAUGGGGGCAACCCUGAUCCAGCCAUGCCGCGUGAGUGAAGAAGGCCU
rnacentral:rRNA from 1 species